rnacentral:snRNA from 1 species
GGAUGUGGGGACGAUGUAACUGGGAUAUCGGUCACCCCAUUGAUCUCCAGGGUUGAUUCAGCUGAUCUGGCUGGCCAGGCGGAUGUCUCCUUCCUCCCUCACCAGUGGCUCCCCGUGCAUCCCUCCGGGAGCUGUGCACUGGACAGCUUUCCUGGAAUAGAGGAGGACCGGUCUUCGGUCAAGGGUGUCCGAGUAGCUGCACUGCCCUUCUAGAACCUCCACACAAGUUCUCAAAAGCCCAGAGCAGGGGUGGGCAGGUGGGCUGGGUAAAAGGCACCCAGCAAGGAUGACAACACUCAGGGACCACUGUCACCCU